UGCUUGGCCGGCAAACAUUUUGUCUCAAUCUUCGCAGCUUAACAAGUGGGGAAGAUUUAAGUGGCUCCUAGGAAAGAAACGGAUGCCAGGGCUGCCAGCAGGAACCCCUGGUUAAGCGCUCAUCAUUUGUUCUCUGAGAGUGACUUUAAUCACACAUCUGGAGAACCAGCUGGUGCUUUCUGGAUAGCUCUGUGCUUGGUUUCCAUCCAAAUGGAGGGUCUCAGGUGUGUGCAUGCCUUUGGUACCAGCACUGAAGAAGCAGAAGCAGGGAGAAGCUAGCCUGGUCUGCAGAGUGAGCUCCAGGCCAGUUAAGGCUACAUUCAUAAUGAAACUCUGCUUCCCUAACUCCUGAACCCCCCUCCAAAAAAAAAAAGAAGGUUUUAGGUUUGGGAAGGUCUUUUAAUUUUUACAUUAGAAGAUGAAUAGAAAAGAAUUGCUAAAUUGGACAUUGCUUUUGGGCUAGGGCUUUCGGCUCAGUGAUCGAGUAGCUUUCCUGACAUGUAUGAGACCCUAGGUUCUAUCCCUAGUUCUGAAAAAGAGAACUACUGCCUGUUCAAUGACAGCCAUGUCACCCUUCGUGUUGCUAUGAACUGUCACAGCUUUCUGAUGACUCCUGCCACCCAGGAUGGUAUAGGAUGUCUCAGUGUCCUUGGCUUGCUGCCUUUCUCCAUAAAUGUUGAAAACAUCUUUACUCCCCUAGCCGAAGUUUUUAGAAUCUUUAGUGGGAGGAUCCGGAAUCUGUAGAGGAACUGGGGUAGAAAUGAUGUGUUUACAGUAGUCAGGCACAUCAGAGGACAAUGUGCAGAAACGUCAGUGUCCGACCUGGUUACCAACCAUGCACUGAGUCUCAGUGACCUGAAGGAUUUGUUUCACCUUGGCAAGUUUAUGUGUUUGAACGCUAAUUCUGUUUGUCACAGGGAGCCUCUUCAACGUCUAAGACAGUUUGAUAUGUUUUUCCUUGUUAAGCUACAUCUAGGGUCUGGAAGAGCAGACAUCUCAAUAGUUAGGAGAACUUGCUGUUCUUCUAGAGCAAUGGUUCUCAACCUUCUUACUACUGCGACCAGUUACUACAGUUCCUCGUGUUGUCGUGACCCCCCAACCAUAAAAUUAUUUUCUGUUGCUACUUCAUAACCAUAAUUUUGCUACUGUUAUCAUGUAAAUUACAGUUUUUCCCAUGGUCUCAGGUGAUUCCUGUGAAAGGGUUGUUCAAACUACAAAGGGUCACAACCCACCAAAACUGUUGAGCAUGUACACAGAAAGACAUAUAAACAUAUAAACAUUUUAGUAAAGAAAUAAAACUAUCUAUAAUACAUAUUUCAUUUUCCUAUCCCAACAUGUGUAGGAACACUAGCCCAUGUAUGUGGUAUAUAUUACUUGGUAUUAAUAUAUAAAUUUUUUUUUUGGUUUUUCGAGACAUGGUUUCUCUGUGUAGCCCUGGCUGUCCUGGAACUCACUCUGUAGACCAGGCUGUCCUUGAACUUGGAAAUCCACCUGCCUCUGCCUCCCAAGUGCUGGGAUAAAAGGCAUGUGCCACCACUGACCAGCUAUAUAAUCUAUUCUUACUUACUCAUUAUAUACUAUAAAACAAAAUACAUACACAUACACACACAUGUAUGUUUAUAUCUAUAUUGAUAGAUAUAGAUAUUUUAAUGCAUCAAAUGGCACAUCAAGCAUCUCUGUGUCUAUGAUGUCCUUGUAACUAUUUAGACUAUUUUAUGAGCUGAGUGUGAUCAUAUUUGGAUGGCACUAGUCAAAUGUCGUGUUCCAUGAGGCAUUGCUUAGAACAACAACUAUGGACAGCGUGACAACGCAUCACAACCACUGCUCUGUCCUGAGAGGGCUGAACCUUUCUUCUAUUUUACCUGAUCUGACAUUUUUACCCAAUUCAAACCAUUGUAGACUUCUGAUUUCUGUUGUUGAUGUUCAUCUAAACAUUUGGCAGCCUGCUUUAUUUUUCUCUGCUACCUCAGGCUGCUUCCAAUCUGUAAUUUCUUUCUUACUAGCAGGAUUAUUUAUUGUCAGACCACUGAGAGAGCACUGGAAAUCUUCUUAGGGUAUAUUUCUAAUACCCUGUGUUUUCCCGAAUUUUGUAUCAAAGGUACCAUAUCCUUUGAGAUGAUAGUCACUUUAUAUACUGACUAGCUUCCAGCAUUUGGGUCCCCUUAGAUAAAAGAGCAAAUGUCAUUCUUUUUUACUUGUUACUAUCACAAAGGUAUCUAUGGAGCUAUAAAUUUUUUAAAUGUCUGCUCAU
rnacentral:lncRNA from 1 species